GACGAACGCUGGCGGCGUGCCUAAUACAUGCAAGUUGAGCGCUGAAGGUUGGUACUUGUACCAACUGGAUGAGCAGCGAACGGGUGAGUAACGCGUGGGGAAUCUGCCUUUGAGCGGGGGACAACAUUGGGAAACGAAUGCUAAUACCGCAUAAAAACUUUAAACACAAGAUUUAAGUUUGAAAGAUGCAAUUGCAUCACUCAAAGAUGAUCCCGCGUUGUAUUAGCUAGUUGGUGAGGUAAAGGCUCACCAAGGCGAUGAUACAUAGCCGACCUGAGAGGGUGAUCGGCCACAUUGGGACUGAGACACGGCCCAAACUCCUACGGGAGGCAGCAGUAGGGAAUCUUCGGCAAUGGACGAAAGUCUGACCGAGCAACGCCGCGUGAGUGAAGAAGGUUUUCGGAUCGUAAAACUCUGUUGGUAGAGAAGAACGUUGGUGAGAGUGGAAAGCUCAUCAAGUGACGGUAACUACCCAGAAAGGGACGGCUAACUACGUG
rnacentral:rRNA from 1 species